UACAGAGGGGGCGAGCGUUGUUCGGAAUUACUGGGCGUAAAGGGCGCGUAGGCGGCCCUCUAAGUCGAACGUGAAAUCCCCGGGCUCAACCCGGGAACUGCGUUCGAUACUGGAGGGCUCGAAUCCGGGAGAGGGAUGUGGAAUUCCAGGUGUAGCGGUGAAAUGCGUAGAUAUCUGGAGGAACACCGGUGGCGAAGGCGGCAUCCUGGACCGGAAUUGACGCUGAGGCGCGAAAGCUAGGGGAGCAAACGGG
rnacentral:rRNA from 1 species